rnacentral:rRNA from 1 species
UACGUAGGAUGCAAGCGUUUGUUCGGAAUUACUGGGCGUAAAGGGCGCGUAGGCGGUCUACUAAGUUGGAUGUGAAAACUCUGGGCUUAACCCAGAGCCUGCAUUCAAAACUGAUAGGCUGGAGUUCUGGAGGGGAUAGCGGAAUUCCUGGUGUAGCGGUGAAAUGCGCAGAUAUCAGGAGGAACACCGAUGGCGAAGGCGGGUCUCUGGGCCGUAACUGACGCUGAGGAGCGAAAGCGUGGGGAGCGAACAGG